rnacentral:rRNA from 1 species
AUAACGACUCUCUAGAGCGGAUAGCUCGUCUCUCGCAUCGGUGAAUACCGUAGCGAAUUGCGAUACUUGGUGUGAAUUGCAGAAUCCCGUGAACCAUCGAGUCUUUGAACGCAAGUUGCGCCCGAAACCUUUGGUCGAGGGCACGUUUGCUUGGGUGUCACA